CAGUAGCCACGGUAAUACGGAGGAUGCAGGCGUUAUCCGGAAUGAUUGGGCGUAAAGCGUCUGUAGGUGGUUUAUUAAGUCUACUGUUAAAGAUCAGGGCUUAACCCUGAGUCGGCAGUAGAAACUAAUGAGCUUGAGUACGGUAGGGGCAGAGGGAAUUCCCGGUGUAGCGGUGAAAUGCGUAGAGAUCGGGAAGAACACCAAUGGCGAAAGCACUCUGCUGGGCCGAAACUGACACUCAGAGACGAAAGCUAGGGGAGCGAAUGGGAUUAGAUACCCCCGUAGUCCCUGUCUCUUAUAC
rnacentral:rRNA from 1 species